rnacentral:rRNA from 1 species
CACGUAGGGGGCGAGCGUUGUCCGGAUUUAUUGGGCGUAAAGAGCUCGUAGGCGGCUAAGUAAGUCGGGUGUGAAAACUCCAGGCUCAACCUGGAGACGCCACCUGAUACUGCUUUGGCUAGAGUCCGGUAGGGGAGCAUGGAAUUCCUGGUGUAGCGGUGAAAUGCGCAGAUAUCAGGAGGAACACCAGUGGCGAAGGCGGGAUCCUGGGCCAGUACUGACGCUGAGGAGCGAAAGCGUGGGGAGCAAACAGG